rnacentral:lncRNA from 1 species
AUGUCCAUCAAUGAUAGUCUGGAUAAAGAAAAUGUGGCACAUAUACACCAUGGAAUACUAUGCAGCCAUAAAAGAGGAUGAGUUCAUGUCCUUUGCAGGGAUAUGGAUGAAACUGGAAACUAUCAUUCUGAGCAAACUAUCGCAAGAACAGAAAACCAAACACCACAUGUUCUCACUCAGAAGUGGAGUGGAACAAUGAGAACACAUGGACACAGGGUUGGGCUAUUUAAGUAAAAAAAAAAAAAAAAAACUAUGACCAUGGUAAAAAUAAUCAGGACUUUGUAUACGCUAUACCAUUCCUUGCCAUUAUUUUACUACUUAUUAGUUUUCCCCCAAAAGAUGACAAAGGAGGCAGAAGAAUAGUCAAGCACAGUUGGUUCAUUUAAAAGUUUUAUCUAUGUUAAUUGCAAGUUUUUAUGAAAGAAGCAGCUUAAACUAAGGUUUGAGGGGUUUUCCAUAUUUAUAUUUC